rnacentral:rRNA from 1 species
UACGUAGGGUGCUAGCGUUGUCCGGAUUUAUUGGGCGUAAAGGGCUCGUAGGCGGCGUGUCGCGUCGGGAGUGAAAGCCCGCUGCUUAACGGCGGGUUGGCUUCCGGUACGGGCAUCGCUGGAGUGCGGCAGGGGAGACUGGAAUUCCUGGUGUAGCGGUGGAAUGCGCAGAUAUCAGGAAGAACACCCGUGGCUAAGGCGGCUCUCUAGUACGGUACUGACGCUGAGACGCGAAAGCGUGGGGAGCGAACAGG